GUUUCAGGUAGCCUUCCACAUGUUUCCCACAAUACGUUGUUGUUUUGGCCCAUUCCUCCUGACAGAGCUGGUGUAACUGAGUCAGAAUGAUGCAUGACCUGGAUGUCAAAGUCAUUGUCUACUCCCACUUUGGCAAGAAGUUCCCUAAGACUCACAAGAUAAGCCCUUCUUCCAGAUGGGACUACAGCUGGCCUACCACAGCCAGAAGAUGCAGCAGAUUUUCCUGAGUGCUCCACUGCUGAAAGUAUCCUUCCGUCUCAUGUCGUUCUUGCCAACAAUCCAAACCAUACAAUAGAACCGAUUUGAAAUCGCUUUUGUAUAGGUGGAUAUUUGUUGAGAGGCUGCUCUGCUCAGACCUCCAGAUGGGAUGAGUUGGGCAAAUACACACAACGUUUUGAGAUCUUCCAGCUCGGAGAACAGGCUCCACUGAUGUGGUAUUGGUCAUAAUCCAGUUAAUGGUGAUAAGGAAGAGGAUCUGAGAGAUGAAGGAACCAUGUCUCACUCCAGACUUCACAGGGAAUGACUCAGACUUGCCCAUAAUGACUGCAUUUCCAUACGAUUUUUACAAUCUUGAAUAGUAUGCAUUGAAUUGGUUCUUAAGAUCUUCCAUAGUGUCACCAUCUAAACGACCAACAGCCUUGAGGUCUAUGAAGUGAGAUUUGCGUAAGUGGGGCAGAGGAGGUUCCUAAGCGGAGGACCAUCCUUUUUAAAAAUAGUGAAACAUUUAAAGUUAUCCUUUUUAGAUAAAACUAUACUACAUAUAUUUACGUCACCAUAUAACUGAUUAAAACGCGCUCCUCAGGACCUACCCCUCCCAGUCCACCAGGUACUGGAGCCAACCCCCAUGAUGUCGGUAGUCCAGGAGGGACCUAACAGCAUAGGCGGUGGUCCCCUCUUGGCAGUGACUCCUUAGGAACCUCCCCAGCUCCUGGUUGGUCCUAUUCACCUGCCCGUUGGACUGAGGCCGGUACCUGGAUGUGAGGCUGACCGUGGCCCCCAGCUUCUACAUAAAGGCUUUCCAGACCCGCAAAAUUAUUUGGGGACAACGGUCGGAAACGAUGUCCUCCGGAAGGCCAUAGUGCUGGAAUACUACCUCAGCCACCUGGAGAGCGGAACAGAGAUACGCUCUGGAGGGCAGGUAGCAGAAGCGGGUUCCUUCUCCAGAGCCUAGUGGAUGUUCACAUUGACGUCCCAAAACACAGGGCUAAUGAUAUGGGAGGACAGAUUGAUGGGCUGGAGGACACUCACAGGACCCUCCACUGGCAUCCUGGUCCCCAGGCGGUGAUUGUUAUCCUCGACCAGGAGAUGAUGGGGUUAGCAAAUGGAACACUUUAAUAAUGCCACUUUAAUAAUGUUUACAUAUCUUGCAUUUUUUCUUUAUUUUCUUUAUUUAACUAGACAAGUCAGUUAAGAACAAAUACUUAUUUCCAAUGACGGCCUAGGAACAGUGGGUUAACUGCCUUGUUCAGGGGCAGAAUGACAGAUUUUUAACUUGUCAGCUCAGGGAUUCGAUCUUGCAACCUUUCGGUUACUAGGCUACCUGCCACCCCGGUUACUAGGCUACCUGCCACCCCAUUGCUCAUCUCAUUUGUAUAUACUGUAUUUUAUACUAUCUAUUGCAUCUUAGCCUAUGCCGCUCUGACGUUGCGCAUCCAUAUAUUUAUAUAUUCUUACUCCAUUCCUUUACUUAGAUUUGUGUGUAUUAGGUGUUUGUUGUGGAAUUGUUAGAUAUUGCUGCACUGUCGGAACUAGAAGCACAAGCAUUUCGCUACACUCCAAAUAACAUCUGCUAACCAUG
ensembl:lncRNA